rnacentral:lncRNA from 1 species
CAAAUCGGUGAAGGAAUAUGUCAAAUGAGCCAUAUUUCCUGACCGCAUCCAGCUUGGCGCAAAAUGACAACAAUGGAGCUGAACCUGGUGUUGCUCCGCCUGAUGCUCGGACUGACUUGACAGGGGGAUCUACAUCGAGAUCGGAGAUAGAUCCUGUCCCCCUCGUGUGGACGGCGUCGGCUCUAUCCUCAUCUGCCGCAUCGGGGACUCUCGGAUCUUCUACGCCUUCAUCUGCCGAGACUGCUGCCUCCUCUUAGUCGUCAUCUGCCCUAUCAGAUUCGACCAGCUCCAACCCACGUGGAUCUUCUGCGGGUGCUCCCGUGGACUCUGUGUUGCCUGAUACUUCUUCACCACCAGUUCGUGACUCUUCCUCACCGCCAGC